rnacentral:rRNA from 1 species
AGAUAUGAUCCAGAGUACCACGGGACACGUGAAACCCUGUGGGAAGCAGGAGGGACCACCCUCCAAGGCUAAAUACUACCUAGUGACCGAUAGCGUAUAGUACCGUGAGGGAAAGGUGAAAAGAACCCCGGGAGGGGAGUGAAAUAGAACCUGAAACCCUGCACUUACAAGCUGUGGAAGCACAUUUCUUGUGUGACCGCGUACUUUUUGUAGAACGGGCCAACGAGUUACGUUAAGUAGCAAGGUUAAGCACUUAAGGUGUGGAGCCGUAGCGAAAGCGAGUUUUAACUGAGCGUUCAGUUACUGGACGUAGACCCGAAACCGGGCGACCUACCCAUGAGCAGGAUGAAGCGAAAGUAAAAUUUCGUGGAGGUCCGAACCCACGAGCGUUGAAAAGCUCGGGGAUGACUUGUGGGUAGCGGUGAAAUUCCAA